rnacentral:lncRNA from 1 species
AGUGAAAAUAAGCUUAGCGCCCCCUCGCGGCCCAAGUGCGCAUAUGCAUUUAACGUUGUUGUGCUGCAAUCUCUACAGGGGCGAUGAAAAAAUCUUUGGCGAAUGUUGUGGCAUCUGGCGCUGACACGACCAACUCUCUCUGUCUGUCCCCAACAGUUUAUUUAUUUCGCAAGAAUUCCGUGGAGGAAACAUUUUUUUCCAUGUUUAAAGUCUUGCUUGGUGAUGGAAUGAGUCAUUUUCUGAAGCAAUGAGAUGGAAGGAACCUUCAUAGCAUCCAACAAACAAGGAUUUCUAUGAGGCAUUGUGUUUUCCACAUUGCAGACCUCUGUAUCACCAACUUAAAUGAGCCUCCACCUGUCCACCAUGAUCUCCCCCAAACUUAAUCCACACCUCUUCUUCAGGAAUUGUCCCAUCGUGAGUUGUGAGAAAUCCAUUCCUGUGGAAAGAUGAUGGAACAUGAACAUAUGGUCUGUGACUCUGCUAUGGACCUAGUGAAUCACUGUUGACUGUCCAUGGUUCAAGUGAGGAUUGGCAAACCUGGUCAUUUCUUGAUUACCUACAGAAUGCAAUUGCAACAUAUGCAAAAUCUUAUGCAGGAAUGGGGCUAUAGCAGUGAUGGGACACUACCUUUGACUGUGAAGAUCAGACGAUGCAAUUCCCGUUGGUCAGCCCCCCCCCCCACCCCAAGGAGCCAUGCACUGCCAGAGAUCUUGAGCCAGGUCUUCAGUGGUUAUCCAUUGAUAAGAAGAACGGAGAUAAUAAAGACAGUGAGGUAUCUUGUUGAUUUCGACGUGACCAUCUUCCUAACGCUUCUUCCAAACAAUGAACUGGAGGCUCUUUCCACGAAUGAAUGUUUAGCUGCUUCAAGUGUGAUUCCAGCUUUUUCAAGAGCUUCUUGUUGUUCUACUUCUACUGGCCUUUAUUGUAGUUAACAUGUCCUGUGAAUGUUUUUAGGAGCCCAGUUUUGCUACAAACACAGUAAACCUCAAGUUCACAUAUAGUUAAAAAACGGUCUACUUGUAACAUUAUCUAGGAAAAAGUUCUACAAAUUGGACAUGGUGAAACUUUUCAUUCAUUAUGUUUUCAGUAUUUACUGAGGUACUCACUACAAAAGGAAGUUGGGGUCAAAAGGUCAAGUUUUUGUUCAACUUGGUCACAUUCCUUUAUUUCUGCAUCAAUUAUGUUCACACUACAUCUGAUCCUUGGGUAAUACAUGUACUUUCAUUAGGAUAAUGGGUCAAAGGCCUGAUGUUAAUAAUCAACUGCCUAAUGUUAAUAAUCAACUGAAAAUUACUUAGUCAGAAAAGGUGGUUUAUUGGAUUCCCUAUCUUUUGCUUAUAAUUAUUUUUUUUUCAAAUUUAGUAUUUCUCCAUCAAAUCUGACAAAUUCAUUAUUUUUUUAUCAAUAAUUAUUAAACGAUGUCAAUAAUAAGAGUUUUGAGAAACAUGUGCAAGUAUAUGUACCAAUAUCCAUGUGCAGAAUAUUUGCUGCAAGGUUAAAUGCUACAGUGAAAUUUUAAAGUGCGCAACCAUAGGAUACGGGAAAAGAGUUCUUGCAGCCUUUGAUGUACUUAUAAAGAUCAAGAUAGAAUUCACCCAAAACAUCUAUUAGGUGUUAGUAGCUGAAAAUAUCCUAGAUUAGUUCAGAACUAUUCAUCUGGAAGAAGAGACAAGUCAAAGCAUUUUAAA